CAGAAACCAAUGAAAGAAGCUGCAGUCUCAAAAAUUCGCUCAUUUGAUUCGUUCAAACACAAUGAUUCAAUUUGGAACGAACGAAACAAGCGACCUCUAAUGAGUGAGUGUUUGAUUCAUUCACUCAUCCGGUUCCUUCAAAACACUGAUUCAUUUAGGAAGGAAACAGCUACUGACUCAAACUGUGGAUUUGUUUGGAUGUAUUUCCUUUGGCACAGAGAAAACAAAGUACCUGCAAAUAUGACAUCUAAAAUGAGCGGUGCUUUCAUAACCCCCUAAUCCCCCCAAAAAUAAAAGAUGCCAGGGGGCAAAGAUUGUGGAGGGUCCCGGUAUUCUGCUAAUGGAAGUGAUUGACAUCUGGCUAUCUGUUGUGGAAAUCUCGCAGCCUCUUUGCCCAAACCACAUCUCUUUUUCUGUUUACUGGACGAACAGCAAGACACAGACAGACGGGUGGCAUGAGUCAGAGUCAUAUGCUGUUAUUUACUCUGUGGAAGGAAAGGAAGAAAGGAAUGAGGUUGACGACAUAUGGGCCAAUCUGUGGAGAGGAGAAAGCGGGAUGGAGGAAGAGAUUGUGCAGGAGUAGGAGUGGAAGGUGCUGAUGCUGGGUUGAAUAAGUCUUGAUAUUAUUGGAUGAAUGGAUGAUUUUAUGCCUGUUAAUAUAUGCUACCUUUUGUGCUUUAGAAUUCGACCCUUAAAGCUGCAGUGUGUUUUUUUCUACUACACCCAAAUUCUAAAAAAUAGUUUUCAAACAGGUUUCCCCAAACACACCUGUAUGCCAUUGUUCAGAC
ensembl:lncRNA